rnacentral:tRNA from 1 species
GCCUAGUUAGCUUAGUUGAUAGUGCGUCAGCCUUGUAAGCGCUAGGCCGCGGGUUCGAUUCCCGCCCGGGGCG